GACUUCAGUAUAGCUCGAGACGCAGCUCUCGGCACAACACAAAAUCAAUUUAUAAAGAAAGAAAGUAAAAAGCAUAUUCAAAAUUUAAAAAUGAAAAACGCGAAAAAAAAGAAAUCCUAUUAAAAUUCCAUUUCGAAUAACAUGCAGAUAAUAAGUAUAAUAUAAAGCACACAUCCUCUCUCACACAUACACGUAAUUAGCCAUUUGUUGCAGUUUGCUCACAGGACUACCCGUGAUAACACUCUAGUCGCUUGUUAUGCUGAUGAUUCAAUUCUUUGCCCCUACGAAUAUUCAAAAACUCUACGUAAACUCAUAGACACAAGAGACACAAAUACAAGAAACAGAGGAAUAACAUAUAAUUCCAUUUUUAUGUUAGGAUGGAAUUCAUAUGCUUAUUAUAGUUAUCGUAUUUCCAUGUGUGCUACGAGCCGAUCAGAUUAUGUGGUUUCUGAUCGGCCUAGACAUAUACGAAUGGAGACUAAAAAAAACAGUCUUAUUUUUGUGGCGCGUACAUUUAAUUAAAUUUCAUACAUUUCAAAUAGUUCUACAAUAGCUCGGACAAUCUUCAACGAUUGCUAUUGCUAUGUUAUGCUAUAAACAGCUGGGAUUGCCCAGAAAUGCACUUUGAUACUCGGAUGCACUCUAUAUACAAAUAGUUCAACAACACAUCUUGACUUCCAUACACACUUCUAUCGAAUAUGCAUAUAUAAAUGUGUAUAUAUAUAUAUAUAUAUAUAUCCAAUUUGGUAUGAUUUAUUUAUGUAACUCUAUAUGACUCAGUCGUUUCUUCAAUACACUAUUGCUGGCCUUUGAAAAGGUUUUUCGCAUUUUUAUUUAGAAAUCCAUUUUAGGGGCGGGGGUUGAUUGGAGGGCCAUUGAAUUGAAUUAUUUGCUGUGUAACAUUAACAAGGCAAGAAAAUCAACGAGAAUUUCAAUUAAAUGUCAACAACUCCUCGGCCUGACCUUCAUUGUUGUCGCAUAACGUACGAAAUGGAACAAUAAAUUGAAUAUUGGCUGUACGGGCAGACAGACGGCCAAAUGACUUAAGAGCAUUAUACGGAAGAGGAAGACGGAAGACGGAAGACACAAGCCAGCACCCAAACGAGACUGAAAUCGAAUUCGAAAACGAAAACUAACAAAACAACUGUCACUAAAUAAGCCAAUGGUACCUAAUGGAAAUGUCAAUCGCAAGAUAAUGUUUUAUUGUGCCAUUGAAAUGAUUCCGGCUCGCAUUGUUAUCAAAGAUACUUAUACAAUGGCCAAGCCGGAUCGAUAUGGCUGGCAAAUGUGUUAUGCAAAAGAAACGUGUUUUUUACUUUAACUUGAAGGCCAAAUUUAACAUGCAUGUUGCUGUUGCUGGCAUAUGUACGUCUUUUUGAGUGGCAGCACAAGACUGGCCCUGUUCGAGCUCUGUUCGCAUAAUCAAAUUUGGGCAUAGCUUAAAUAUUUAAUCCCGAAAAGCCCUGACAAAUUUCUAUUUAGGCAAAAGGCUUGGCAAUCUUAAGCCUAGGCACUUCAUUUACCAUAAAGCGAACCUCAAAUUGAACUAGUUGGAAUAUGUGACAAGCCAAGGCUCGAACCAGGACCUGGUGCAGAGCGAGACUCAUGAGUCGCACCUCAAGGCGCGGCAUCGAAUCGAGCCUUGGCUUAGGCCAAGGAGCAUGAUACAAAUCUUAUAUACCCUUUCUCUCCUCGGCUACAGAGUACAGUAAAUAUGUAUAUUGCAUUCGAUACGCAGAAAAGCAGAUACUCUUGGCUUUGAUUAUGAUGCUGGAACUAUGUUAAAUGAAGCUUGAUGAGCACUUUCCAUAAGAAUAAUGCCACAAAGUGCAAUACUAUACUGUGCUGAAACGAGCUGCAUGCCAAUGGCACUGAUAAAGGAAAGGGAAUGUGCACGGGUAAUGGGUUAUAGGUAUUAAGAGUAUAUGGGUAUGGGACCUUAUGGCAUUCCAUUACCUUGACGCAACUGGGACAAGCUCGUAAGCUACUUGGAAAAUGUGUUGCAUAGUUUAAGGCGGCCCUCAGAGUCGGCGCCUGGGACAGGGACAGAGACAGAGCAGGAGCCAAGAAUUGUGGCAUGGCGCUGGAGCAGGAAGCAGGGACCAGGGACCAGGGAGCAGGGAGCAAGCAGCUGCCGGCAUAGAAGCUAUCAACUAUAGUCGAGGAAAUUACUUUUAACAUUUCGAAUGCUGGCUGCCAGUUGGUAGCGGCCACAGGGCGCAGAGGGCAGAACGAAGACGGCAGCCGACUUGAAAGUAUAUAUUUAUAUAUUUAAAAAAAAAAGAAAAAAUGAAGAAGAAGAAAAAAGUGAGCAGUCAGCAGUCAGGGACAGCCAUAGAGGGACUGGCUUGGAGACGAGCAGUGGAGCAGUAAACAAAGAGGGCGCCCGGGACAUGAGCGGCGGCGAGGCGCACAGGGCGCCAACGUGGAUGAGCAGAGGCAGCUGCAGCAGCAGCAGCAGCAGCAGAAGUAGGAGCUGCAUUUUGAGCCGAAGCCGGACCUGGAGUCGCAGUCGGAGUCUGGGCGUCGCGCUGUCUGGCAACUUGCUUGCAUUAUAGAUGAAGUUCCGUGCGAUAAAUAAAGCAAAUAAAUGCAAUCAGGAAUAAUAAUUCGAGCAGCAGUCAAAUAACUUGAUUUCCCAUAACGUUCAGCGCCUGCGACGCAUAAAUAAAAUUUUCAGCGUUAAGCCAAUACUGUCAAGGAAUAAACCCUAUAAAAAUAAAAGACGAAGAAAAGUGAA